CCUACGGGAGACAGCAGUGGGGAAUAUUGGACAAUGGGGGGAACCCUGAUCCAGCCAUGCCGCGUGUGUGAAGAAGGCCCUCGGGUUGUAAAGCACUUUCAGUGAGGAAGAACGCCUGGUGGUUAAUACCCAUCAGGAAAGACAUCACUCACAGAAGAAGCACCGGCUAACUCCGUGCCAGCAGCCGCGGUAAUACGGAGGGUGCGAGCGUUAAUCGGAAUUACUGGGCGUAAAGCGCGCGUAGGUGGCUUGAUAAGCCGGUUGUGAAAGCCCCGGGCUCAACCUGGGAACGGCAUCCGGAACUGUCAAGCUAGAGUGCAGGAGAGGAAGGUAGAAUUCCCGGUGUAGCGGUGAAAUGCGUAGAGAUCGGGAGGAAUACCAGUGGCGAAGGCGGCCUUCUGGACUGACACUGACACUGAGGUGCGAAAGCGUGGGUAGCAAACAGGAUUAGAUACCCCGGUAGUC
rnacentral:rRNA from 1 species